rnacentral:rRNA from 1 species
AUUGAACGCUGGCGGUAUGCUUAACACAUGCAAGUCGAACGGUAACAGGCCUUCGGGCGCUGACGAGUGGCGGACGGGUGAGUAACGCGUAGGAAUCUGCCUUAUAGUGGGGGACAACGUGGGGAAACCCACGCUAAUACCGCAUACGCCCUACGGGGAAAGCGGGGAUCUUAGGACCUCGCGCUAUGAGAUGAGCCUGCGUUAGAUUAGCUAGUUGGUAGGGUAAAGGCCUACCAAGGCGACGAUCUAUAGCUGGUCUGAGAGGACGAUCAGCCACACUGGGACUGAGACACGGCCCAGACUCCUACGGGAGGCAGCAGUGGGAAUAUUGGACAAUGGGCGGAGCCUGAUCCAGCCAUGCCGCGUGAGUGAAGAAGGCCU